rnacentral:rRNA from 1 species
CAGUCGCCCGGUAAUACGGAGGGUGCAAGCGUUAAUCGGAAUUACUGGGCGUAAAGCGCACGCAGGCGGUCUGACAAGUCAGAUGUGAAAUCCCCGGGCUUAACCUGGGAACUGCAUUUGAAACUGUCAGGCUGGAGUCUUGUAGAGGGGGGUGGAAUUCCAGGUGUAGCGGUGAAAUGCGUAGAGAUCUGGAGGAAUACCGGUGGCGAAGGCGGCCCCCUGGACAAAGACUGACGCUCAGGUGCGAAAGCGUGGGGAGCAAACAGGAUUAGAUACCCCGGUAGUCCCUGUCUCUUAUACC